AAAUAUCUGGCAAAUAUUGUGGGAACAGAAACACAUGCUAACAAACGUUGUGGAGAAUGGAAAGACAAAUACUUACCAAUUAAUGAUAAAAGAAAUGCCUAAUUUGAAGAAUGAAUUACACUUAUUUUCAUAAUCAAGAAGCAGUGAGACCUUGUUUUAUGUACAUUCAAUUAUUCUAUUUUGUAUUUAUUAGGAUGUGUCA